GGCAGUUCUCAGGUGAUGCACCCUGGAAUCAGGCUCCCUCCUCUCUGGUUUCGAGUGCGUCACCUGAGAACCGCA
rfam:Myotis brandtii contig163545, whole genome shotgun sequence.